rnacentral:siRNA from 1 species
CAGCAGCUUAGGUUAAAUUAUC